CAUUGUCGAAAUCGAACGGAAGAACGACCCGCGAACAGUCUUUGCGUACCAAACAGGGCCCGUGGGAGCGCAAUGCUCACGCGGCUCGCGUCGCGUCGGCGUGGACGUACCCGAGGCCCGCGUCGUACCGACGGAAAUACAUUGUCAGCACGGAUCGUGCCAAGGAGCUUCAUGGAGAGAAUCGUCGUCCCGCGCCUUCGGUCGCCCUCGUUGAGGGGCUCGAGGCGGGGGGACGUGCGCGAUCUCUGCUAAAGUCUAAAUGACUCUCGGCAACGGAUAUCUCGGCUCUUGCAUCGAUGAAGAACGUAGCGAAAUGCGAUACUUGGUGUGAAUUGCAGAAUCCCGCGAACCAUCAAUUCUUUGAACGCAAGUUGCGCCCGAAGCCAUUCGGCCGAGGGCACGCCUGCCUGGGUGUCGUGAAUCCCAUUGCCCCAGGGCACCCGUGUUCAUGCAUGCGCAUUGGCGGGGGAACGCUCGGGCGCAGAACGUGGUCUCCCGCGGAAUCGGCACGCGUGUCGUGUCGAGGCGCGGUUGGCCGAAAAUUGAGCACGGAGGUGACGGGCACCACGUCGUUCGGUGGAUCGAACUAGAUUGGCUGCGUCUUGGUCUCGUCGCGCGUCUCGCUCCGGGCUUUGAUGAUCCCGAGUGCGA
rnacentral:rRNA from 1 species